ensembl:lncRNA
GAGAUGGGAGAGGUGACAGAGAGAGGGAUGAGAGGAGAUGGGAGAGGUGACAGAGAGAGGGAUGAGAGAGGUGACAGAGAGAGGGAUGAGAGAGGUGACAGAGAGAGGGAUGAGAGGAGAUGGGAGAGGUGACAGAGAGAGAGAUGAGAGGAGAUGGGAGAGGUGACAGAGAGAGGGAUGAGAGGUGACAGAGAGGGAUGAGAGGAGAUGGGAGAGGUGACAGAGAGAGGGAUGAGAGAGGUGACAGAGAGAGGGAUGAGAGGAGAUGGGAGAGGUGACAGAGAGAGGGAUGAGAGGAGAUGAGAGAGGUGACAGAGAGAGGGAUGAGAGGAGAUGGGAGAGGUGACAGAGAGAGGGAUGAGAGGAGAUGGGAGAGGUGACAGAGAUGGUGAUGAGAGGAGAUGGGAGAGGUGACAGAGAUGGUGAUGAGAGGAGAUGGGAGAGGUGACGGUGAUGAGAGGAGAUGAGAGAGGUGACAGAGAGAGGGAUGAGAGGAGAUGGGAGAGGUGACAGAGAGGGAU